rnacentral:rRNA from 1 species
AUUGAACGCUGGCGGCAGGCCUAACACAUGCAAGUCGAGCGGAUGAAGGGAGCUUGCUCCUGGAUUCAGCGGCGGACGGGUGAGUAAUGCCUAGGAAUCUGCCUGGUAGUGGGGGAUAACGUCCGGAAACGGGCGCUAAUACCGCAUACGUCCUGAGGGAGAAAGUGGGGGAUCUUCGGACCUCACGCUAUCAGAUGAGCCUAGGUCGGAUUAGCUAGUUGGUGGGGUAAAGGCCUACCAAGCGACGAUCCGUAACUGGUCUGAGAGGAUGAUCAGUCACACUGGAAAGAAGACACGUCCAGGCCCCCAAGGGGGGCAGGCAGGGGGAAUUUUUGAAGAAGGGGAAAAGCCUUUACCCACCCUUGCGGUGGGUGGAAAAAAGUUUUGGGAAUUUAAAGCCAUUUUAAGUGGGGAGAAAGGAAAGUAAUUUAAACCCUUCUUUUUUGCACUUGCCCAAAAAAAAAAGCCCCGGCAAACUUCUUC